UCGGGAAUUUUGGGCAAUGGGCGAAAGCCUGACCCAGCAACGCCGCGUGAAGGAUGAAGUAUUUCGGUAUGUAAACUUCGUAAGAAUAGGAAGAAUAAAUGACGGUACUAUUUGUAAGGUCCGGCUAACUACGUGCCAGCAGCCGCGGUAAUACGUAGGGACCAAGCGUUGUUCGGAUUUACUGGGCGUAAAGGGCGCGUAGGCGGCGUGGUAAGUCAUCUGUGAAAUCUCCGAGCUUAACUCGGAACGGUCAGAUGAUACUGCUGUGCUAGAGUACAGAAAGGGCAAUCGGAAUUCUUGGUGUAGCGGUGAAAUGCGUAGAUAUCAAGAGGAACACCUGAGGCGAAGGCGGGUUGCUAGGCUGAUACUGACGCUGAGGCGCGAAAGCUAGGGUAGCAAACGGGAUUAGAUACCCGAGUAGUCCCUGAGCGGGCUGGCAAGGCGCAU
rnacentral:rRNA from 1 species